rnacentral:rRNA from 1 species
UGGGGAAUUUUGGACAAUGGGGGAAACCCUGAUCCAGCCAUUCCGCGUGUGCGAUGAAGGCCUUCGGGUUGUAAAGCACUUUUGGCAGGAAAGAAACGUCAUGGGUUAAUACCCCGUGAAACUGACGGUACCUUCAGAAUAAGCACCGGCUAACUACGUGCCAGCAGCCGCGGUAAUACGUAGGGUGCAAGCGUUAAUCGGAAUUACUGGGCGUAAAGCGUGCGCAGGCGGUUCUGAAAGACAGAUGUGAAAUCCCAGAGCUCAACUUUGGAACUGCAUUUUUAACAACAGGGCUAGAGUGUGUCAGAGGGAGGUGGAAUUCCGCGUGUAGCAGUGAAAUGCGUAGAUAUGCGGAGGAACACCGAUGGCGAAGGCAGCCUCCUGGGAUAGCACUGACGCUCAUGCACGAAAGCGUGGGGAGCAAACAGG